UCCAGACUCCUACGGGAGGCAGCAGUGAGGAAUAUUGGUCAAUGGUCGGGAGACUGAACCAGCCAAGCCGCGUGAGGGAGGAAGGUACAGAGUAUCGUAAACCUCUUUUGUCAGGGAGCAAUUGGGUCCACGCGUGGGCUUAGCGAGAGUACCUGAAGAAAAAGCAUCGGCUAACUCCGUGCCAGCAGCCGCGGUAAUACGGAGGAUGCGAGCGUUAUCCGGAUUUAUUGGGCUUAAAGGGUGCGUAGGCGGAAUAUCAAGUCAGCGGUAAAAAUUCGGGGCUCAACCCCGUCGUGCCGUUGAAACUGAUGUUCUUGAGUGGGCGAGAAGUAUGCGGAAUGCGUGGUGUAGCGGUGAAAUGCAUAGAUAUCACGCAGAACUCCGAUUGCGAAGGCAGCAUACCGGCGCUCAACUGACGCUCAUGCACGAAAGUGUGGGUAUCGAACAGGAUUAGAUACCCGCGUAGAA
rnacentral:rRNA from 1 species